CCUACGGGAGGCAGCAGUGGGGAAUAUUGCACAAUGGGGGAAACCCUGAUGCAGCGACGCCGCGUGAGAGAAGAAGGAGUUCGGAAUGUAAAGCUCUAUCAGCAGGGAAGAAAAUGACGGUACCUGACUAAGAAGCCCCGGCUAACUACGUGCCAGCAGCCGCGGUAAUACGGAGGGGGCAAGCGUUAUCCGGAUUUACUGGGUGUAAAGGGAGCGUAGGCGGCUUUGCAAGUCUGAAGUGAAAGCCCAGGGCUCAACCUUGGGACUGCUUUUGAAACUGUAGAGCUUGAGUACCGGAGGGGUAAGCGGAAUUCCUAGUGUAGCGGUGAAAUGCGUAGAUAUUAGGAGGAACAC
rnacentral:rRNA from 1 species